UUAUUGCAUGUACCUCUCCUUCUUUGAUGGUUGUGCCCACAUCACCAAAUCCUUUUCUCCCCCUCUUUGAGCUAUGAUUCAGGUGCUUCACAUGGGUUAUUUGGGUUCUUUCACAGAAAUGGGUUUCAAGGCCCCUUCGCCCGUGGAAAAUCAAUUCUCCGAUUAAGUCUGUCUAUCUCGCCGGACCUGACCCAGAUGGGUGUUUGUUGCCGGAGACAAGUCUCGGGAUCUUGCCGGAGAGUUGCUUGCCUGCUUGGCCUCUGUUCUUGAGUACAUAGACCCACUUGGUCAAAAAUAUAUAAGGUUUCCAGAAUUUAUAAGCUCAAGUUUGUUCUUUAGGAGGGGCAAACACAUUGGGUCGUGCAAAAAAGUAGAGGCUAAUGGAUGUAGAAGGAAUGAUGAAAGUUGUGGAUAAGAGCAGGAGAGGUAUACGAUAAGUGAAUUUGGAGAAAUUUUUUUAUGUUCAAAGGGGUUGGGUUGUACACAGAAGGGGUCCUGUUGGGUUGUACACAAAAGUGGAUAAUCACGUUGUUGCUCAAGAGGCCAAGGGGAAGGCUGUAGAAGCUAUAUCGGUUUUUUGUUUGUGCUGUGCUGAUGCAAUUAAAGUUCGGUGCUAGGUCGAAUGAAUUUAAGUAUCUAAAUAUGGUACCGUGUUGGAAAGCUCUUCAGGAUUCAAUAACAAAACUUUCAUCUAUCCGGAAAUUAAGCAUUUGUGAUUGUAAGGAGUUGGAGAGUUUGCCCACGUGUGAAGAAUCACAUCCUUCAAACACUGAAUAUAUUUAGGUGUCCUGUUCUGAGACAAAGAUGCAGUAAGGGUCAAGGGCCAGAAUGGUUCAAUGCGUUCCAAGUAUAUUUUGGGAUUAUAAGAGGUGGCAGUGAACUUUUUAGCUUGGUGAUUGUCUCUACUCCAUCUUCCCUGCCUUGACUGUUUUGUAUGUAGUAAAUUUAAAGAAUAGAAAGUUAUCCCGAGUUCAAUAGCAGGCCUUCUAUCGCUCAAGCAGUUAUUUGGAAUUCUGAGAACUAGGAGAGUUUGGGAAAUGGUAAAGACCUGGUGAAUUAUGACAAUAAGCAUCUAGAAUUUCUCAACUCUAUUUGUUUAUUUUUGAAAUACCUAUCUUCUGGAGCUUUGUAUACAGAAGGGGUUGGGUUGGACAUAAUCUUUACAGAUCAGUGAAAAAAAUGCUCUAGACACCAUAA